GUUGUUUUUAUUCAGGACUGGCGUUCUUGUGGACUGCGGUGGGAUUCGGCGUUUUAGUCUGCCUUUCGUUCUCCUCAAGUGCUUGGGCUUACUAAACGACUGAGGCCAUCGUUGGAGCGAGCAAAGAAAAAAUAAUACCAGAGAUGUCUAAAAGCAGAGGCUAAAAGCAGCCUGAGCUAGCGGCCUGCUAAAAAAACAAAGCACUGCCCAGGGGAAGAGCGAAGGGUCGGGCAGCGUGGUCCGGACUUGCCACAGCCGCGUCUCUCUGCGUUCCCUCACUCCCUUUCUCACCUAUAUGUAGACGAAGGCUCACAGCAGGGUAGUAUAGCAGAUCUGACCACAGGUAAACACGGCUACACCACAAACGUGCUCACCUAGCACCAUAAUGGACAAAAAUACCGCACUGCAAUGAAUGCAGGCUCACAUAUCAUCAAGGGGAAUGCUUGAAGAAAAAGUUCUUAAAAGCAGCAGACUGACUGGAGUUAGUUAUAUCAUCCAGAAACCACAGCCUGAUUUAUUGCUGAUAGCUUUUCUGUCAUCACGAUUUGUGUGUGUACUGUAUUUGUACCUUAGCUUACAGAUAUGUGUUGUGUUUAAAUUAAUCCCAAGCUCUUUCAGCUCAUGUAGACUGUGGAGGUGAGAAAAGCAAGCUUGCUUGAGCGCAGCUACAGGUCAAGGAACUGCACUAUGGCGAUUAUACUGGAACAGGAUGUUUACAGUAAGGUUGUAUUUACUCUACCGCUUUGGUUUAUGGAUUUCAAUCCGAGCAGAGUUAUAGUCACCGUUUUAGGUUUAAUAAAAAAGCACAUUAUCACUCAUUCACUUUGCCCACUACUUUAAGCACAUGACAGCCAUCGGUACAAAUUUUGAACAUUUAAUCCCCAAAUAAUCAGCUCAUAAAUGAUAGGCUCGUGUGGCCGACAAUUCCCUAAAUUCCCGUACAUCUAAGGAUAUCUACUUAUAGUAAUUUGAACUUUAUUUCCACAUAUAGACAUGGGUGGAGGGUUGCAGUGUGUACUCACAAUUGAAAGUUGAGAUCCAGAGUAGGAAGGAAAUUGAAGUGGACUCAUUGAACAAACUUCAUGCUCACAAAAGAUUAACAUCUGAAGGAAGUAAUAAUGGCAACUCCCACACAGUCGCCGAAAACGGGAGCUGCUGCUGGGCCAAGCUAGCGUGUGCUAAAGACCCCACCUUGGCUUAAAUUUGUCAUCAAUAGUGAUUUAAAGCAGACAAGUGCAAUCAGAGACCAGCGUCCAGAUGCACUAUAACCAAAACACUGCCCUCUGAUCUUAGAGUUGACGUGUCAACAGCUGCCGUUCAAUCAUGCUACUUCAGAAGAGCAGAAUUCAUCGGAUUGACUUCCUAAUCAGUGGAAAUAAUAAUGACUAAUACCAUUGUCUCCUAAGCUUUAAUCAAGAUAUACUGCAGACUAUCUCUUUAGAACAGCCUUUCCUGGAUAUAAAUUAGAAUUCUCUAAAUUAAGAGGAAAAGGAAAAAGAGGUACAGGAAAAGUGAAAAAAAAAGAAAAAAGAUCUGAGAGAGAGAAAGAGAAGAAGAGAGAGAGAGAGAGAGAGAGAUGGAAAGAGAGGCAGAAAGGGAGGAAAGGCAGAAAUAUCCUGACACUUAAUAUGGUGGUUGGCAUGUUAUGGAAAGCUCUUGAAAUGAAAGGUAUAGCCUGAACGGGCAAGCGGGAGUGAUCAGGCAUGUUGUGUGAGCGAAAGCCAGGGUUGCUCACCAUCGCUCAGUGCCACGGCCCAAAAGCGUACAUUCCCACAGCCCAGAGCACCACUUUAAAGAGCACCAGGGCCGCUCUGGUGCGCCACUGCUCUGCCACUCCCUCAGCUCUGAAAAAGCAAAUAUCAAUAAAUUCAUUAUGUACUUUAUAUUUAUAUAUUUGUGCUUAUGAGCUUUUAUAUAAUUAUUUACUUUUGCAGCUCUUGAUAUUUUUAGUGCAGUGAUAGACUUUGUGUAAGAAAGAGAAAUGAAAGAGAGACAGACAGAGAGAGGGCAAGAGAAAUGGAUGGCUAACAGGAGAAAUCAUUGUGGCUGUAAGGCCCAGAUGUAUCAUGAACUCAUUUCAGUACAGUUUAAUGCCCAGCUGUGA